rnacentral:rRNA from 1 species
GACGAACGCUGGCGGCGUGCUUAACACAUGCAAGUCGAACGAAGUGGCGAACGGGUGAGUAACGCGUAAUCAACCUGCCCUUCAGAGGGGGACAACAGUUGGAAACGACUGCUAAUACCGCAUACUGAAGGAGGUGAUUGCGUCUGAUUAGCUAGGUGGGGGGGUAACGGCCCACCAAGGCGAUGAUCAGUAGGCGGGCUGGGGGGAUGGACGGCCACAUUGGGACUGGGACAAGGCCCAGACCCCUACGGGAGGCAACAGGUGGGAAUCUUCCGCAAUGGAGGGAAGUCUGGAGGAGCAACGCCGCGUGAGUGAUGACGGCCUUCGGGUUGUAAAGGUCUGUUAAGCGGGACGCGGUACCGGAAUAGAAAGCCACGGCUAACUACGUGCCAGCAGCCGCGGUAAUAC